rnacentral:misc_RNA from 1 species
CGAAGGAGUUUGUGAAUGUUUUGAUGCAUAAACAAACAUCUCUGGGUCAGGCUUCCCCCUGUAAACAUCUUCUGCCGCUACAAUGGCAGUAAAAUACCCCUCAAUCCCAAUGCUUCCAAUCGCAGUCUCAAGAGUCUUCCUAGGGCGUGUGGAUAUCAAUGCCAUUGGUAUUUUGUAAUGCAUCAAAACAUUCACAAACUCCUUCG